CCGACGGUGAGGGACGAAAGCUGGGGGAGCAAACCGGAUUAGAUACCCGGGUAGUCCCAGCCGUAAACGAUGUGCGUUAGGUGUAUCGGUGACCACGAGUCACCGAGGUGCCGAAGAGAAAUCGUGAAACGUACCGCCUGGGAAGUACGGUCGCAAGGCUGAAACUUAAAGGAAUUGGCGGGGGAGCACCACAACAGGUGGAGCCUGCGGUUUAGUCGGACUCAACGCCGGGAAACUCACCAGAUAAGACAGCUGAAUGAUAGUCGGGCUGAAGACUCUACUUGACUAGCUGAGAGGAGGUGCAUGGCCGUCGUCAGUUCGUACUGUGAAGCAUCCUGUUAAGUC
rnacentral:rRNA from 1 species